rnacentral:rRNA from 2 species
UGGGGAAUAUUGCACAAUGGGCGCAAGCCUGAUGCAGCCAUGCCGCGUGUAUGAAGAAGGCCUUCGGGUUGUAAAGUACUUUCAGUCGGGAGGAAGGUGUCAAGGUUAAUAACCUUGGCAAUUGACGUUACCGACAGAAGAAGCACCGGCUAACUCCGUGCCAGCAGCCGCGGUAAUACGGAGGGUGCAAGCGUUAAUCGGAAUUACUGGGCGUAAAGCGCACGCAGGCGGUUGAUUGAGUCAGAUGUGAAAUCCCCGGGCUUAACCCGGGAAUUGCAUCUGAUACUGGUCAGCUAGAGUCUUGUAGAGGGGGGUAGAAUUCCAUGUGUAGCGGUGAAAUGCGUAGAGAUGUGGAGGAAUACCGGUGGCGAAGGCGGCCCCCUGGACAAAGACUGACGCUCAGGUGCGAAAGCGUGGGGAGCAAACA